AUGACUAGAACAACUACCGCCGACGGGUACAAAUACAAUGUGAACGUGUACACGAUGACCCCGGGGACCUAUGUUGCGCCAAAUACCUCCACAAUGACCCGAACAUCUACGGAAAAACGUGUACGACUACCGUCAAGGACCGAUAGUACCACUACUUCUACGAAUGUCCCGAGAACGUCUACUUCCUCUACUUUGCACCGAACCCGAACCAUCCGAAAAGGCACGCUUCAAAGGUAUAACAUCGAGACGAAUGUUGUGUGA
rnacentral:rRNA from 1 species